AUUGGUUGUCCACCAUAGGGCUGUGGAGGGUAUGGCUGAGCGUCAUAGGGAGCAAAAAUGCUUCUAUAGUAGGGAUCUGGGUACGGGUAAGCUGCUGCUGCCAUUGUGUGCCCUGAACCAAGUUGCAGGCUUGUUGCAUACUGGACAUUUGGGGUUGACAUCCCAGGUUGCACUGGUGCAGUUGCAGGAGAAAGAGACUGAAUCUGAGAUUCUGAGUGUUUCUGCUGCUCAUUAGUCUCACUAUUAUCUGAAAGAUCAUGCAGAGAAG
rnacentral:misc_RNA from 1 species